rnacentral:tRNA from 1 species
GCACCUAUAGUUCAGCGGGAGAACGCUGGUCCUACAAACCAGAUGUCCCUGGUUCGAUCCCAGGUAGGUGCA